rnacentral:rRNA from 1 species
UGCAAGUCGUACGGGGGAAAGGCAACUUUCUUUAGUGGCGGACGGGUGAGUAACGCGUAAGAAUCUUCCCUUUAGAGUGGUAUAACCUUUGGAAACGAUGGUUAAUCCCGCAUAUGAGAGUAAUCUUAAAAGGUACAGCAAUGUAUCGCUAGAGGAUGAGCUUGCGUCUGAUUAGCUAGUUGGGGAGGUAAUGGCUCACCAAGGCGAUGAUCAGUAGCUGGUUUGAGAGAACGACUAGCCACACUGGGACUGAGACACGGCCCAGACUCCUACGGGAGGCAGCAGUGUGGAAUUUUUCGCAAUGGGCGCAAGCCUGACGGAGCAAUACUGCGUGGAGGAUGAAGGCUCGUGGGUUGUAAACUCCUUUUCCUAGAGAAGAAAUCAUUGACGGUAUCUAGGGAAUAAGCAUUGGCUAACUACGUGCCAGCAGCUGCGGUAAUACGUGGAAUGCAAGCGUUAUCCGGAUUUAUUGGGCUAAAGCGUCUGUAGGUUGCUUCGCAAGUUUGCUGUUAAAUUGUUCGGCUCAACCGAAUCCCAGCAGCAAAAACUAUGAAGCUUGAGUGUGGUAGAGGAAAAAGGAAUUCCCUGUGGAGCGGUGAAAUGCGUAGAGAUAGGGAAGAACACCAAUGGCGAAAGCAUUUUUCUGGGCCUGCACUGACACUGAGAGACGAAAGCUAGGGGAGCGAGCGGGAUUAGAUA